UGCUCAAACUGUCCCUCGGCGGGGGUGCAGGUAGAGGGGUCCUGACACACGCAGAUGGGGGUGUUGCUGUCGUCCACUUCGCACACUUUGCCCUUCUUGCACUCGUGCUGAAGGCAGGGGUUG